rnacentral:rRNA from 1 species
UACAGAGGUCUCAAGCGUUGUUCGGAUUCAUCGGGCGUAAAGGGUGCGUAGGUGGCGGGGUAAGUCAGGUGUGAAAUCUCGAGGCUCAACCUCGAAACUGCACUUGAUACUGCCUUGCUCGAGUACUGGAGAGGAGAUUGGAAUUUACGGUGUAGCAGUGAAAUGCGUAGAUGUCGUAAGGAAGACCAGUGGCGAAGGCGAAUCUCUGGACAGUUACUGACACUGAGGCACGAAGGCCAGGGGAGCAAACGGG